AGGCCUCAGUGGACAUGGAGUGGAAUCCUGGUGUCGGAACUGCAAGCCCAGCCUUCCUCUGCUCUGAAGGACUCUGGAACCAGAACAUCAUGAGACAAAUCCUUAGGGAAGCAGAUGGAGAAAGGAAAAAUGGUAUUGGGAAUGGCUAGCCUGGAAUUCGCUGACACCAACUUUGGACUGAAACAUGGGCAUAGCAUGUGCACCACUAAUGGAUAAUCCAAGGUUCCCACAAAGCCUGGCCUGUAGAAGCCUUUCACUGAUCUUCCAUCACCUUAAGGAAUUUAUUAAAAUGUCAAUUUCAAAUAAAUUUUCCUUCAGGAAAGACAAAUUCAGACUUACUGGUUAGAGAAAAUUUCAGGCAUGAAAACUUGCAAGCAUAUUAUUAAUGAAGUUUAUUGCAUAUUAAUAUAAAACUGUCUGAUCUCAUUGUUUAUGUAAA